rnacentral:rRNA from 1 species
GACGAACGCUGGCGGCGUGCCUAAUACAUGCAAGUCGAGCGCAGGAAACUGACGGAACUCUUCGGAGGGAAGGCAGCGGAAUGAGCGGCGGACGGGUGAGUAACACGUAAGGAACCUGCCUCAAGGAUUGGGAUAACUCCGAGAAAUCGGAGCUAAUACCGGAUAGUUCAACGGACCGCAUGGUCCGCUGAUGAAAGGCGCUCCGGCGUCACCUUGAGAUGGCCUUGCGGUGCAUUAGCUAGUUGGUGGGGUAACGGCCCACCAAGGCGACGCUGCAUAGCCGACCUGAGAGGGUGAUCGGCCACACUGGGACUGGGACACGGCCCAGACUCCGACGGGAGGCAGCAGUAGGGAAUCUUCCACAAUGGACGAAAGUCUGAUGGAGCAACGCCGCGUGAGUGAUGAAGGUUUUCGGAUCGUAAAACUCUGUUGUAAGGGAAGAACACGUACGAGAGGGAAUGCUCGUACCUUGACGGUACCUUACGAGAAAGCCACGGCUAACUACGUGCCAGCAGCCGCCGUAAUAC